rnacentral:rRNA from 1 species
AACGAACGCUGGCGGCAUGCCUAACACAUGCAAGUCGAACGAGACCUUCGGGUCUAGUGGCGCACGGGUGCGUAACGCGUGGGAACCUGCCCUUAGGUUCGGAAUAACUCCCCGAAAGGGGUGCUAAUACCGGAUAAUGUCUUCGGCCCAAAGAUUUAUCGCCUUUGGAUGGGCCCGCGUUGGAUUAGCUAGUUGGUAGGGUAAAAGCCUACCAAGGCGACGAUCCAUAGCUGGUCUGAGAGGAUGAUCAGCCACACUGGGACUGAGACACGGCCCAGACUCCUACGGGAGGCAGCAGUGGGGAAUAGUGGACAAUGGGCGAAAGCAUGAUCCAGCAAUGCCGCGUGAGUGAUGAAGGCCUUAGGGUUGUAAAGCUCUUUUACCCGGGAUGAUAAUGACAGUACCGGGAGAAUAAGCUCCGGCUAACUCCGUG